AAGGUAAGCAUUGUAAGUUUAAUAUUUACUAUAUGAAUUAAGGUACUGUUAGUGAUGACCAAUAAAGUUAAACAGAUGGGAAUCUCUCUGAAUAAGAUUGAAGAUUGAUUGUUAAGCUGAAACAGUAUUUAAGAACAUCAGUAAAUAUAGUUUACAAAUACAUAUUUCUAAAUGGAGUGUAAUUUCUUACAGGUAUAACGCACGGGUCGCCUCAAGUGAAGGCACUGCAAACAAAAUGAUUGGUCAUUCUGAAUUUCCGGUCCUUCAUUCUGAAUUUCAAAGUAAGUCUCAGUCACUUGUUUUUGCACAGAUUGUAAUAUAGCUUGUAACCAGUGAUGUGAUGAUUCUGCCAAAUGAUACAAAGUGAUAUC
ensembl:processed_transcript Gas5 growth arrest specific 5